UACAGAGGUCCCGAGCGUUGUUCGGAUUCACUGGGCGUAAAGGGCGCGUAGGCGGCUUUUCAAGUGACGGGUGAAAUCCCUCGGCUUAACCGAGGAACUGCCUGUCAGACUGGAAGGCUUGAGACCGGGAGAGGUGAGUGGAAUUCCCAGUGUAGCGGUGAAAUGCGUAGAUAUUGGGAGGAACACCAGUGGCGAAGGCGGCUCACUGGACCGGAACUGACGCUGAGGCGCGAAAGCGUGGGGAGCAAACAGG
rnacentral:rRNA from 1 species